GGGAAUGGCUUAGUGGUAUAGCGCAGCCUUGCCAAGGCUGAGGUCGCGGGUUCGAUCCCCGUUUCCC
rnacentral:tRNA from 1 species